rnacentral:rRNA from 1 species
UCGAGCGAAUGGAUUAAGAGCUUGCUCUUAUGAAGUUAGCGGCGGAUGGGUGAGUAACACGUGGGUAACCUGCCCAUAAGACUGGGAUAACUCCGGGAAACCGGGGCUAAUACCGGAUAACAUUUUGAACCGCAUGGUUCGAAAUUGAAAGGCGGCUUCGGCUGUCACUUAUGGAUGGACCCGCGUCGCAUUAGCUAGUUGGUGAGGUAACGGCUCACCAAGGCAACGAUGCGUAGCCGACCUGAGAGGGUGAUCGGCCACACUGGGACUGAGACACGGCCCAGACUCCUACGGGAGGCAGCAGUAGGGAAUCUUCCGCAAUGGACGAAAGUCUGACGGAGCAACGCCGCGUGAGUGAUGAAGGCUUUCGGGUCGUAAAACUCUGUUGUUAGGGAAGAACAAGUGCUAGUUGAAUAAGCUGGCACCUUGACGGUACCUAACCAGAAAGCCACGGCUAACUACGUGCCAGCAGCCGCGGUAAUACGUAGGUGGCAAGCGUUAUCCGGAAUUAUUGGGCGUAAAGCGCGCGCAGGUGGUUUCUUAAGUCUGAUGUGAAAGCCCACGGCUCAACCGUGGAGGGUCAUUGGAAACUGGGAGACUUGAGUGCAGAAGAGGAAAGUGGAAUUCCAUGUGUAGCGGUGAAAUGCGUAGAGAUAUGGAGGAACACCAGUGGCGAAGGCGACUUUCUGGUCUGUAACUGACACUGAGCGCGAAAGCGUGGGGAGCAAACAGGAU